rnacentral:tRNA from 1 species
GGUAGCUUAGCGGUUAAGGUGCUCGACCGGAUAUCGAGAGGUCCCAGGUUCGAUUCCUGCGACCA